UCUGGUGGACGUGAUGACAUUUUUUCCCCGUCAGAGCGACAGUGUUGAUUUCUCACUGUUCAAGCCAAAUCGUGUCUGAUGCACCAGA
rnacentral:snoRNA from 1 species